rnacentral:rRNA from 1 species
AGAGUUUGAUCCUGGCUCAGGAUGAACGCUGGCGGCGUGCCUAACACAUGCAAGUCGAACGAAGCUUGACGGAUGAUUUCUUCGGAAUGAAACCUGAUAUGACUUAGUGGCGGACGGGUGAGUAACACGUGAGCAACCUGCCUUUCAGAGGGGGAUAACGGCUGGAAACGGUCGCUAAUACCGCAUGACGUGUUCGGAUGGCAUCAUCUGAACAUCAAAGAUUUAUCGCUGAAAGAUGGGCUCGCGUCUGAUUAGAUAGUUGGUGGGGUAACGGCCUACCAAGUCUACGAUCAGUAGCCGGACUGAGAGGUUGAACGGCCACAUUGGGACUGAGAUACGGCCCAGACUCCUACGGGAGGCAGCAGUGGGGAAUAUUGGGCAAUGGGCGAAAGCCUGACCCAGCAACGCCGCGUGAAGGAAGAAGGCCUUCGGGUUGUAAACUUCUUUUAAGAGGGACGAAGAAGUGACGGUACCUCUUGAAUAAGCCACGGCUAACUACGUGCCAGCAGCCGCGGUAAUACGUAGGUGGCGAGCGUUAUCCGGAAUUAUUGGGCGUAAAGAGGGAGCAGGCGGCACUAAGGGUCUGUGGUGAAAGAUCGAAGCUUAACUUCGGUAAGCCAUGGAAACCGUAGAGCUAGAGUGUGUGAGAGGAUCGUGGAAUUCCAUGUGUAGCGGUGAAAUGCGUAGAUAUAUGGAGGAACACCAGUGGCGAAGGCGACGAUCUGGCGCAUAACUGACGCUCAGUCCCGAAAGCGUGGGGAGCAAAUAGGAUUAGAUACCCUAGUAGUCCACGCCGUAAACGAUGAGAACUAGGUGUUGGGGGAAUAACUCAGUGCCGCAGUUAACGCAGUAAGUUCUCCGCCUGGGGAGUAUGCACGCAAGUGUGAAACUCAAAGGAAUUGACGGGGGCCCGCACAAGCGGUGGAGUAUGUGGUUUAAUUCGAAGCAACGCGAAGAACCUUACCAGGCCUUGACAUCCCUUGCAGAGAUAUAGAGAUAUAUCCGAGGUUAUCAAGGAGACAGGUGGUGCAUGGUUGUCGUCAGCUCGUGUCGUGAGAUGUUGGGUUAAGUCCCGCAACGAGCGCAACCCUUGUGAUAUGUUACUAACAUUGAGUUGAGGACUCAUAUCAGACUGCCGGUGAUAAACCGGAGGAAGGUGGGGAUGACGUCAAAUCAUCAUGCCCCUUAUGGCCUGGGCUACACACGUACUACAAUGGCGGAUACAAAGGGCAGCGACAGUGUGAACUGAAGCGAAUCCCAUAAAGUCCGUCCCAGUUCGGAUUGGAGUCUGCAACCCGACUCCAUGAAGUUGGAAUCGCUAGUAAUCGCGAAUCAGCAUGUCGCGGUGAAUACGUUCUCGGGCCUUGUACACACCGCCCGUCACACCAUGAGAGUCGGUAACACCCGAAGCCGGUGGCCUAACCGCAAGGAAGGAGCUGUCUAAGGUGGGACUGAUGAUUGGGGUGAAGUCGUAACAAGGUAUCCCUACGGGAACGUGGGGAUG